GCCUUAGUUUGCUUGGUUGGCACAGCGUCUGCCUUGUAAGCGCUAGGCCGCGGAUUCGAUUCCCGCCUGGGGUG
rfam:Asian citrus Psyllid, Diaphorina citri - Florida Strain, whole genome shotgun sequence.